rnacentral:misc_RNA from 1 species
GGGGUCGCCGCCGUGCGCUAUCAGUAGUGGAACCUCCACCUCGUCGAAUCUCUCCUGCAACUCUCUGCACACUCUCAUAAGUUCCUGCGCGGUCGCUGCGCGAGGACGCGCCACCACGCGUCGGGGACUCGCCGUCGCAAGUUUCCUUUUCCAGUCGACUUUGAAGGAAACUUCCGGUAUUGAUCCACGCGUGGGAACCACGCGCCAAGUCGGAAUCAAAGCGGCGGCUAGAGAUAGAAAGUGCUCCAGUGGCCAUGGCGGUUUGAACUUGGCGCUGAUUCCGCACAUGGCACCGUUCAGAACGACG